UACGGAGGGUGCAAGCGUUAUCCGGAUUUACUGGGUUUAAAGGGUGCGCAGGCGGAUAUGUAAGUCAGUGGUGAAAUCUCCAGGCUUAACCUGGAAAUUGCCGUUGAUACUAUAUAUCUUGAAUGCUGUGGAGGUAAGCGGAAUAUGUCAUGUAGCGGUGAAAUGCUUAGAGAUGACAUAGAACACCUAUUGCGAAGGCAGCUUACUACGGGAACAUUGACACUGAGGCACGAAAGCGUGGGGAUCAAACAGG
rnacentral:rRNA from 1 species